CCAGACUCCUACGGGAGGCAGCAGUAGGGAAUAUUGGGCAAUGGAGGCAACUCUGACCCAGCAACGCCGCGUGAGCGAUGAAGGUCUUCGGAUUGUAAAGCUCUUUAAGCGGGGACGAAGAAAGUGACUGUACCCGCAGAAUAAGCCCCGACUAACUACGUGCCAGCAGCCGCGGUAAUACGUAGGGGGCAAGCGUUAUCCGGAUUUACUGGGUGUAAAGGGAGCGUAGACGGCAUGGCAAGUCAGAUGUGAAAGCCCGGGGCUCAACCCCGGGAAUGCAUUUGAAACUGUCAGGCCGGAGUGCAGGAGAGGUAAGUGGAAUUCCUAGUGUAGCGGUGAAAUGCGUAGAUAUUAGGAGGAACACCAGUGGCGAAGGCGGCUUACUGGACUGUAACUGACGUUGAGGCUCGAAAGCGUGGGGAGCAAACAGGAUUAGAUACCCGCGUAUA
rnacentral:rRNA from 1 species